AGGAUGAACGCUAGCGGCAGGCUUAGUACAUGCAAGUCGAGGGGCAGCAGCUUUAUAGCAAUAUAGAGGCUGGCGACCGGCAAACGGGUGCGGAACACGUACACAACCUUCCUUGAAUAGGGGGAUAGCCCAUAGAAAUGUGGAUUAAUACCCCGUAAUAUAGCGGUGUGGCAUCACACUGUUAUUAUAGUUUCGGCGAUUCGAGAUGGGUGUGCGGCUGAUUAGGUAGUUGGCGGGUAAAGCCCACAAGCCUUCGAUCAGUAGCUGAUGUGAGAGCAUGAUCAGCCACGACGGGCACGUGACGACCGACCGGGCCCACGUCCGUACGGGAGGCCAGGCAAGGUAAAGGAAUAGUUGGACAAGUCGGACGACGAAGUCGUAGAACCAGUACCAGUCGCCG
rnacentral:rRNA from 1 species